AGAGUUUGAUCAUGGCUCAGGAUGAACGCUAGCUACAGGCUUAACACAUGCAAGUCGAGGGGCAUCAUGCUUAUAGCAAUAUAAGUGAUGGCGACCGGCGCACGGGUGAGUAACACGUAUCCAACCUGCCGAUAACUCGGGGAUAGCCUUUCGAAAGAAAGAUUAAUACCCGAUGGCAUAAUAGAACCGCAUGGUUUGAUUAUUAAAGAAUUUCGGUUAUCGAUGGGGAUGCGUUCCAUUAGGCAGUUGGUGGGGUAACGGCCCACAAACCUUCGAUGGAUAGGGGUUCUGAGAGGAAGGUCCCCCANAGUUGGAACUGAGACACGGUCCAAACUCCGUACGGGAGCA
rnacentral:rRNA from 1 species